UAGCAGAUUAUGUUGGAAUAACAUAAUCCGCUGAUCAAACGUAAAGUUAUUGCCUUUUACAACACACUUGAAUUGGCACCGAAGUGCAAUGUCUUUUUUCACGUACAGAUAAAUAACUCGUUGCCUUUUUUGUUUUAUUUUCCACGAUUCGUCUUCGACUGAUCAGUGCAUAGGAGUUCAAUUGAAGUGUGGAAGUAUAGGGGUAAUUUUACGUCUGCUCAGCAGUUUAUGUUGUGAACUACUGAGUGGUGUGGCAGUUCAAAACGAACCGAUGCGUCAAAGCACAAACCGGUUAUUGGUAACAAAAGCCCCUAGAUGACAGUAAACCAUAUUAAAAGGAAAAUUCUAUCGAUAAAUUAUGCAUAAUAGUACGCUGACAGCGCAUUUCUAAUAGCUUUGAUGGGCCGGCGAUCAAUCAAUCACUGGAGAUUCGAAGGAAACUGGAUUUUAGCCUAAGUAUGAAAUUAUUUGACACCCUAUAAAACAAUUAACAAACUUCCAGAAUCAUUUAGUUCAUUUCAACCUCACAUCAGAGCAGAAGAAAACUGGAACUGUCUGGAACUGUCUGACUAGAUACACACCAAGGCAAGAAAUGUCCUUGGAAAAUGUACUGUAGAGCUGCAAAUGAACCUUACCAGUGAUAGUAUUGAACGAUCCAAAUCUAGCACCAACCUUUUUCCGGAUGAUAGGGAAUCGAAGGCCAAUUUAUUCACAGGAAAACGUUUUAAUCUAACGUCGUAAUACCGGCAGUCAUAAAAUUUGUAGAUAUCGCACACAAUGGAUGCAGUGCGAGUUACACAUUGCUUUGCAGUGCCGAUCGACACUCCGUUCGAAUAUGGAUGCUAAUUAACAAAUUUCCUCAAUGCAAGCAACAUCAAAACCCGCGGCGGUGUCUGCAAACUUAGUCAGCUUUCGUUAGCAACCAUCUCGGCGGUAACCCUGCCUUCAGCAUCUCUUUCUUUCCGGAGGCCCAUUUCGUGAUAGUGCACAUAUUAAUUCGCAAGCCGGCCCAUUAUGUAAACGAUGUACACCAUUUCACUUCCGACAAAAACAAACAACGCAACCAGCUGCACGCGUCGGUAGACUCCCAACAUCGCUCCGGUGUAGAGAUCACUUAUGGGGUAGGUUGGAGCUAGCGAGUACACAGAAAAAAUGUUGUAGGAAAAACUAUGCUGAAAAUAAAUGCAAUGC